GCUGUGCCAAUCUAGUGAGGGCCUGCUGGGCAGGGGUGGGACAAAACAGCAAGUUUGAAACUUAGCUGUGCAUCUCAAAAGAGUGUUCUGCUUUUCUCCACACCCAGGAGACAUUUUUCCUAUCAGGGUGUCAUGCAGGUCUCUGGGGAGCCUGAUGCAUGGCAGGUGUGAACAGAGCAAUGAGAACACACCUGACCCACCCAUCCUUCUGGGGUGUCACUCCUCAGGACAGACUUGGAGCACCUGUGCAAGUCCCGGCACAUGAGGAUGAUGGAGCAAAGCGCAGACGAGGCCAGGGAGAGCAGAUUCUGUUUGCAUCAGGACCAACAAGCAAGAACUUCUGCAGAAAGGGAAGACUGACGCUGGCCAGUUUUCCUUAUAAUCAGGUCCACUACUAGAAGUCAAAGAACCCCAUGUUCUGAGAAACAGGAGUACCUGUGAUUAAUGCUUUGCACGUCAGUGGGAUUGAUGAGGACACAAACGGUUAUGAAAGGAAGACAUGAUGAACCUUGGCUGUUACAGUGUGGAUGCCAAGGUUCUCUUUCUGUCAGAGAGAGCUGUGGCAGUGGGAACAACACUCAUUGUGUGCCAGCAUGAUGCUGAACCAAAGGACCCACAACAGGAAAGCAAGAAACAACCAAACAGCAAUGCCAUCAUUUUGUGAAAUCAUUCAUGUUUCUGUUUUAAUCUUCUCAUAUUCAUGUGCUGACUUAGAAUGUUCUGAUGUGACCGAUGCUGUAGAUAACACCCUACAAAUAUCCUUUAGUUGCUGCUCUGUGUGAGGGGAGGGAAACGACCUCUGAGAUCUCUGGAGUCACUAUUGGACCCAAAGCCACUCACAGAGGGAAAACAGUGGAAAACCAGGCACCUGAAAUUAUCACCCUCCUCACAUCAACUAUCUCAGGAACAAGGGCAGUGAAAGAAUACAAAUCGAGCCAGCCUUCUCCUCACUUAGGCCUCGGGACAAGCAGACUGGAUGGUGCGCUGGCUGCUCCUCUUUGGUGACAGGAACUGGGCAGUUGAAAGACUUCAGCCUCAUCACAAGUGAAGGAAGAAUUGAAGCCAUGCUCUGGUGGUCAUUUCCAAAUCAAGCUGGAUUUUGUUUGACUAUGAACUUAAAGGAAGGGGAAGUGAGCGCCACCCCAGCGUUGGCAACAGGGUGUUGUUUUCCAGAACCAGGUCUGAUUAACUUCCGGGAACUUCCAGGAACUCAGGCCAGUCACAUUUUCUAAGUCGCCCUUGGGUACUUGUGGUCCCGGAUUUCCUUGGCCAAAUGACCAACGGUGCAUUUCUAGGGCUUCCCCGGGCUUCUUUCUAGGGUGUGUGCCUUGUGGGUGGGGGUGGGGGAUGUAAAUCUUAUACAGCUCUUAGGCUUCAAGCGUGACCAGGGUCUUUACUUUGCAGGCUGAGAAUUUUGUGUCAUUUUGGACCUUAGAGCUUGUCAUGAAGGCAGAUAACACAGGACAUAUAUUAGUUGAUAUAUAGUUGUGUGACGUUAAAUUUUUACCCAAGGCCCCCAUGUGUUAAUGGAGACCCUGGAGAGAAGAUACAUUUGUAACUUUGGGCUGAUGAGUGAAGUCAGAAAGAAUCAAUUCAGGAGUCCUUUCUUCUGCACACACUUGACUUUUGAAUGUUUUAGUUACUUAUAACCAAGCAAGGUCCAAAACUAUUGGGUGAAAACUUCAGGAAGUAAACAAUGAGUUCAUAUAUUUUAAAAAAAAAUUUCUAUCACCGCCGAUUGCUGUUAUUGUCCUAUUUUAUUAUUAGUUAUUAUUCUUAGUAUGCCUAAUUUAUAAAUUAAACUUUCUCCAUAUGGAGGUGCAAGAAAAUAGAGUAUACCACCCAGAGGGGUAGUAAUUUCAACAUACGCCUCAUAGAUAAGGUUUUCUACUUGAUCUAGCUCAACUUUGGGAAGUUAUAGAGAACAGGAAGGAAGUCUGCUGGAGUGGAAAGUACCUGAGAUUUGGAGAAAAAGAGAUCUGAAUUCCAGAAAUGUUUAUUAGGCAUUUGUAGUGUAUAUGCCUUGGGACUAGAUGCUAAGGUAGGAAAAAAAAAAAAAAAACAGGCAAAAAUCUACAGAAAACUUGCAGUG